rnacentral:lncRNA from 1 species
UUUUCAAACAUUUCUUUUCCAAACUUUCGUUUUGAAGCAAAAUAUUUUGAAUUAUUUUCUCUCAAUUGCAAGGAAAUACACGAGCUUUUCUAGCGAAAUAUGUCGCACGACGUGACCGUAAACUUCAACGGCAAAUCAUUUAACCUUCGUUUUCAACCAUCCUGGACAAUCGCUCAACUAAAACGGGAAAUUGCUCGCAAGAAAAAUGUCAAAACUGCUGGAAUUAAAAUCAUUUUUGCCGGUCGAGAAUUACCCGAUAAAAAUUAACACUCGGGAAUGCAGAGAUGAACCACAGCGUCAUUCAUGCUGUUCAGAAAUCUGGUCAGAUCUCAGUUGAUGCAACUUACAAUGCGAAUGAUGGUUUGACGAAAGUAAAACUGACACAGGAUGACGAGGAUGAAGACGGUGAAUCUGAACAAUCAGGCAAGCAAAGUUUCUUCUUUGUUUAUUGUAAAACUUGCAAGAAACUAACACAAGGAAAAUUGCGAUGUCGAUGUUCAAAUUGCAAGGAAGGAAGCUUUGUUCUAUCACAGGAAUUUUAUUUCAAAUGUGGGGAACAUCAUGGUAGAGAUGAACAGGCGCCAUUAUCAAU